rnacentral:piRNA from 2 species
UGAUCACAACCAGUUACAGAUUU